rnacentral:rRNA from 1 species
CUACGGGAGGCUGCAGCUAAGAAUCUUCCGCAAUGGGCGCAAGCCUGACGGAGCGACGCCGCGUGGACGGAGAAUGCCGAGAGGUUGUAAAGUCCUUUUAUUUGCGAAGAAUAAUAUCUAUAGGUAAUGAUAGAUAGAUGACGUUAGCUUAUGAAUAAGCUCCGGCCAAUUACGUGCCAGCAGCCGCGGUAACACGUAAGGAGCGAGCGUUGUUCGGAAUUAUUGGGCGUAAAGGGCAUGUAGGCGGUUUUGUAAGUCUGGUGUGAAAGACCACAGCUUAACUGUGGGGACGCACUGGAACUGUGAGACUAGAAUCAGUGAGGGGUAACCGGAAUUACUAGUGUAGGGGUGAAAUCUGUUGAUAUUAGGAAGAACACCGAUGGCGAAGGCAGGUUACUGGCGCAUGAUUGACGCUGAUGUGCGAAAGCGUAGGGAGCGAACAGGAUUAGAUACCCCAGUAGUC